GACGAACGCUGGCGGCGUGCCUAAUACAUGCAAGUCGAACGCAGUGGGGACGGGUGAGUAACACGUGGGUAACCUCCCAUCAGAGGGGAUAACGCUUGGCAACAGGUGCUAAACCGAUACUGAUGGCUGAACCCGGGGUGCAUUAGCUAGUUGGUGAGGUAACGGCUCACCAAGGCCACGAUGCCUAGCCGACCUGAGAGGGUGAUCGGCCACACUGGGACUGAGACACGGCCCAGACUCCUACGGGAGGCAGCAGUGGGGAAUCUUGGGCAAUGGACGAAAGUCUGACCGAGCAACGCCGUGUGAGUGAAGAAGGUUUUCGGAUCGUAAAACUCUGUUGUUAGGGAAGCGGUACCUACCCAGAAAGCAACGGCUAACUACGUGCCAGCAGCCGCGGUAAUAC
rnacentral:rRNA from 1 species